GACGAACGCUGGCGGCGCGCCUAAUACAUGCAAGUCGAACGGACACCUUCGGGUGUUAGUGGCGGACGGGUGAGUAACACGUGGGCGACCUGCCUUAGAGUGGGGAAUAACGCUGGGAAACCAGCGCUAAUACCGCAUACGCUCGCUGCUUCACAGCAGUGAGGAAAGCUUAAUGCGCUCUAAGAGGGGGCCUGCGGCGGAUUAGCUAGUCGGUGGGGUAACGGCCUACCGAGGCGACGAUCCGUAGCUGGUCUGAGAGGAUGAUCAGCCACACUGGGACUGAGACACGGCCCAGACUCCUACGGGAGGCAGCAGUAAGGAAUCUUCCGCAAUGGGGGCAACCCUGACGGAGCGACGCCGCGUGGACGAAGAAGCCUUUCGGGGUGUAAAGUCCUUUUCUGGGAGAUGAGAUGGACAGUAUCCCAGGAAUAAGCCUCGGCUAACUAC
rnacentral:rRNA from 1 species